rnacentral:rRNA from 1 species
AGAUUGAACUGAAGAGUUUGAUCCUGGCUCAGAUUGAACGCUGGCGGCAUGCCUUACACAUGCAAGUCGAACGGCAGCGCGGAAUGGGGCAACCCGGCCUGGCGGCGAGUGGCGAACGGGUGAGUAAUAUAUCGGAACGUGCCCUGGAGUGGGGGAUAACGCAGCGAAAGUUGCGCUAAUACCGCAUACGAUCUAAGGAUGAAAGUGGGGGAUUCGCAAGAACCUCAUGCUCCUGGAGCGGCCGAUAUCUGAUUAGCUAGUUGGUGGGGUAAAGGCCUACCAAGGCAUCGAUCAGUAGCUGGUCUGAGAGGCCGCCCAGCCACACUGGAACUGAGACACGGUCCAGACUCCUACGGGAGGCAGCAGUGGGGAAUUUUGGACAAUGGGCGAAAGCCUGAUCCAGCAAUGCCGCGUGAGUGAAGAAGGCCUUCGGGUUGUAAAGCUCUUUUGUCAGGGAAGAAACGGUGGCCUCUAAUACAGGUUGCUAAUGACGGUACCUGAAGAAUAAGCACCGGCUAACUACGUGCCAGCAGCCGCGGUAAUACGUAGGGUGCAAGCGUUAAUCGGAAUUACUGGGCGUAAAGCGUGCGCAGGCGGUUUUGUAAGUCUGUCG